CCCGCCCGUCACAUCAACGAAGNGGUUGUACUAGAAGUCGCUGCGCUAACCGCCAGGAGGGCAAGCGCCCAAGGUAUGACUCAUGAUUGGGGUG
rnacentral:rRNA from 1 species